UACGUAGGGAGCAAGCGUUGUCCGGAAUCAUUGGGCGUAAAGCGCGCGUAGGCGGCCAGAUAAGUCCGCUGUGAAAUCUCGAGGCUCAACUUCGAGCUGUCGGUGGAAACUGUCUGGCUAGAGUCCGGAAGAGGAGAAUGGAAUUCCUGGUGUAGCGGUGAAAUGCGCAGAUAUCAGGAAGAACACCCGUGGCGAAGGCGGUUCUCUGGGACGGUACUGACGCUGAGACGCGAAAGCGUGGGGAGCGAACAGG
rnacentral:rRNA from 1 species